UGUCUAGAAAUAUUGAUUCACAUAAUUUACUAUUGAAUCACAUUAUUUACUAUUAGGGGAAGUGGUGCAAGUUUGAUAAUACUUCCAUGACUAAAUUAAAAAUAAAAAAAAGUUGGAGGUAUUGUACUGUAAUUUUUCGAGCCCCAAAACGUGCAAUUAUCGAAACUAUAUUUUUCUAUAAAUAGAAGCUCAUUCUUCCUUCAUUUCUCACCAAUUCAAAAAAGCUUUAGAGCGAUUAUUAUAGAGAGAAAUUAUAGAAAGAAGAAGAGAAGUCUGCU
rnacentral:lncRNA from 1 species